rnacentral:rRNA from 1 species
AAUCAACGCUGGCGGCGUGCCUCAGACAUGCAAGUCGAACGAUUAAACUUUCCUUCGGGAAAGAUAUAAAGUGGCGCACGGGUGAGUAACACGUAAGUAAUCUACCUUCGAGUGGGGAAUAACGUCGGGAAACCGACGCUAAUACCGCAUAAUGCAGCGGCACCUAAUGGUGACAGUUGUUAAAGGAGCAAUUCGCUUGAAGAGGAGCUUGCGGCAGAUUAGCUAGUUGGAAGGUAACGGCUUACCAAGGCUACGAUCUGUAACCGGUCUAAGAGGACGGUCGGUCACACUGACACUGAAUAACGGGUCAGACUCCUACGGGAGGCAGCAGUCGGGAAUUUUGGGCAAUGGGCGAAAGCCUGACCCAGCAACGCCGCGUGAAGGAUGAAGUAUUUCGGUAUGUAAACUUCGAAAGAAUGGGAAGAAUCAAUGACGGUACCAUUUAUAAGGUCCGGCUAACUACGUGCCAGCCGCCGCGGUAAC